GUCAACGGCCAUAUCACGUUGAAAGCACCGUUCUCGUCGAUCACCGAAGAUAAGCAGCGUCGGGCGUAGUUAGUACUUAGAUGGGAGACCGCUUUGGAACACUGCGUGCUGUUGACU
rnacentral:rRNA from 1 species